rnacentral:rRNA from 1 species
AGUUUGAUCCUGGCUCAGGAUGAACGCUAGCGGCAGGCCUAAUACAUGCAAGUCGAACGGGUUGUGGUAGCAAUACCACGAUCAGUGGCGCACGGGUGCGUAACGCGUAUGCAACCUACCUUAAACUGGGGGAUAGCCUUCCGAAAGGAAGAUUAAUACCGCAUAAGAUCACACGAGGGCAUCUGAGAGUGAUUAAAGAUUUAUUGGUUUAAGAUGGGCAUGCGUGCCAUUAGCUAGUUGGUAGGGUAACGGCCUACCAAGGCGACGAUGGCUAGGGGUUCUGAGAGGAUGAUCCCCCACACUGGCACUGAGAUACGGGCCAGACUCCUACGGGAGGCAGCAGUAGGGAAUAUUGGGCAAUGGAGGCAACUCUGACCCAGCCAUGCCGCGUGCAAGAAGAAGGCCUUCUGGGUUGUAAACUGCUUUUAUCUGGGAAGAAAAAGCCCCUGCGGGGGAAACUGACGGUACCAGAGGAAUAAGCACCGGCUAACUCCGUGCCAGCAGCCGCGGUAAUACGGAGGGUGCAAGCGUUGUCCGGAUUUAUUGGGUUUAAAGGGUGCGUAGGCGGCCCGGUAAGUCAGUGGUGAAAGCCUCCAGCUCAACUGGAGAACUGCCAUUGAUACUGCCGGGCUUGAGUACAGACGAGGUUGGCGGAAUUGAUUGUGUAGCGGUGAAAUGCAUAGAUACAAUCAAGAACUCCGAUUGCGUAGGCAGCUAACUAGGCUGUAACUGACGCUGAGGCACGAAAGCGUGGGGAGCGAACAGGAUUAGAUACCCUGGUAGUCCACGCUGUAAACGAUGAUUACUCGAUGUUGGCGAUAAACUGUCAGCGUCUUAGCGAAAGCGUUAAGUAAUCCACCUGGGGAGUACGCCCGCAAGGGUGAAACUCAAAGGA